GUCCACGCCGUAAACGAUGUCUACUAGUUGUCGGGAGUCUUGUAUUUCUGGUAACGCAGCUAACGCGAUAAGUAGACCGCCUGGGGAGUACGGCCGCAAGGUUAAAACUCAAAUGAAUUGACGGGGGCCCGCACAAGCGGUGGAGCAUGUGGUUUAAUUCGAAGCAACGCGAAGAACCUUACCUGGCCUUGACAUCCUGCGAAGUUCUUAGAGAUAGGAAUGUGCCUUCGGGAACGCAGUGACAGGUGCUGCAUGGCU
rnacentral:rRNA from 1 species